rnacentral:lncRNA from 1 species
CCACAUCACCAGCUUUCCUGGCUUUCCUGCUUGUCAACUGCAGAUCUUGGGACUGAUCACAUGAUUCAAUUACUCAUAAGUCACAUGCAUAUGACUAGUCUCUUCUGUAGUUGUCAGGGUUCUCCAGAGAAACAGAAACAGAAGCAAUAGGAGAUAUAUCUCUUAUUACAUUAAGUCUCCUAUUGCUUCUGUUUCUCUGGAGAACUCUAAUACAUAAAAGAUUAUGAUUAGAAUUAUGCUUGAAGAAGGUUAAUCUUAUAAUGGCAUGCAGAGCGGAGCUGGGCAAGGCCAGAGGCUAAAUAUGGAGCCAGAAAGAUACUGCAGAAAGUGAGCAAAAAGGAUGAGUGGAUGGCCUGGGGUGGAAUCCGUGAAAAAGGGCAGAUUGUCAGUCUCAGGAAAUCAACAGGACUGAGUUCUAACUUCAGCUGGGCUACUAUGCCCUGGGGAAUCAGAAGAUUCUCCCUAACAUUGGAGUCCAAAGAAGAGGAGCCACCAUCUCCUUAACUACAAAACAACUGAGAGAAGAAAUGUCUCCCUUUAGUGCCAGUGAAGAGUUUUGCUUCUCUAGAACAACUGUUUAUUUUUGAUCUUAUGAAACGCGUGACACUUGUAACUGAUUUGCCUUCUUUUUGCUUGCUGCUAGAAAUCUCAGAACCAAAUUCGAGGUCAUUUCUGAAUGUGCUGGACUACACAGCAUGAAUUCUGUGUCCUCUCACCUCAUUCAUAGAUACAUUUUUUUAUUCCUACCCAUCUUUUCCUUUCCCCAGAUUUUCCUAUUGCUCUUUUAUCAUCUUGAGUAAAGAAGGUUAAACUAUGAAUAAAAAGUACAAUCUCAAUGACGAGUCAGGGAAAAGUAAGUUUUGGACUUCCAUUUAGAGCCAUUUAUAGGUCAGCAAUCUUUUGUCUCUGUGUCUUCUUUCUGCCCUGAACAACCAAGGCAUCCUAGUCAGUCUCUCUUCAUCUGCAUACCACUUUAAAGAGCCCAGGGGUCUUCCAAGUACAGUCACUACUAAGAAAAUGUCUUCAGUAAAUUUUUUUUUUUUUUUUUUGAGAUGGAGUCUCGCUCUGUCGCCCAGGCUGGAAUGUAGUGGCACGAUCUCAGCUCACUGCAAGCUCUGCCUCCCGGGUUCACGCCAUCCUCCUGCCUCAGCCUCCCAAGUAGCUGAGACUACAGGCACCUGCCACCAUGCCCGGCUAAUUUUUUUUGUAUUUUUAGUAGAGACGGGGUUUCACUGUAUUAGCCAGGAUGGUCUUAAUCUCCUGACCUCAUGAUCCGCCCGCCUCGGCCUCCCAAAGUGCUGGGAUUACAGGCGUGAGCCCCCGCGCCCAGCCUUCAGUAAAAUUUUAAUGCAUGUUGCUUAUCAUUCUUUGUAUUGUAAGCACCAAUCCUUAAUCUGUGCUGUGGUUUUUGUUCAGAAACAUUUCUUUAAAAAAAUUUCCCCAGACGCUCAGCCUUCAUAUUCUAAUCUUUAUUAUUCUGAACUACCUACAAAGCUAAAUAUACCUUGUCUACAUGCAGUGCUUAUGUAACAAUGGUGCUUAUUUUGUUUUACAUUGCUUCAACCUCUGACCAGAAACUUAGAGGACAGAAUGCCCUGCUUUUACAAAAAAUGUGGUGACCACAACGGUAACCUUAUCUAAUUGAGACCAUUUUAGGAAGGAGGGGAGGAGAUAUUUUUACUGCAAAGACUGAGUCAUAAGCCUUCAUUUUUUACCCUGGGUUGUGCAGAAACUUUAAACUUUCUAUAUUAUUUCAUUUCUUCCAUACCAGGACAUUUAUUUCCUAUUCAGUGACAAUCUUGAUGUCUUCAUCCUUCAAACUGCUCUCUAACAUAGUUUCAAAAUCCAAGCAUUAAACAUUAUUAAUGCUCAGGGGAUGAAUAUGUUCAUUACCUUUACUGUAGUGAUGAUUUCCUAUGGCAAAAUGUUAAAUGAUGUAAAGAUAAAAAUAAUUAUCAUAGUUAUUAAUCAUAGCAAUAAAACUGGACUACCUAAAGCACAGUUUAUGGUAUAAUAUUUAUGAAUUAAGAGCAACACAAAUAAUAAUGUUAAUUGCUCACCUACAGAUGAAUGCAAAUGAGGAUAUAACAGAGUCGAAAUAAACUAAGCAAAGGAAACAAUG